AUUGUCCUUAUUGCUCGGGGUUCACAGCAGACCCAUGUUUGCAUGGGAAGACUUUAAGCUAGAAAAUUAGAUUUGGGAGUAGAUGGCAAACGGUGUGGAAAAGUUAGAGACAGACAGAGAAAGCAGAGAUGAGGGAGAAAAGGAGAAGAGAGAGAUGGAAGGAGAGAGGAGAUAUGGCGGGAUGCAAGGGAGAAGGGUGUGAGCAUUUCUGAAGCCCCCAUGAAGCAUUGAACAUGACUGAAAGCAGCCAAUGGAAGCAGUAGGUGCGUGGGGGAGAUUUGAAGCUCUCUGCUUUGGAGAGCUGACUUGGAAGUUCCUCCAGAUGUCUCAGAGCAGAAGGGUCAGAGCUGGAGGCACAGGAUCCAUCGGCUUAGAUGAGGUACUUGAAGGCGUGAGUGUGAACGAGAAUGCCGAGGAGGACAAUGCUUGGAAAAAAGAGAAGAGGCUCGAGGAAAAGCAUCGGGAAAAGAUGGCGAGAUGGGGACCGGAUGGAUUUGGAACUGGUUGAAUGGCUGGACUCGGAGUCAAGUCAUGAAUGGUUCUGUGCCAACUUGUCUGAAGGUCUCCACUGGAGUUCCUUGGAGACCUGGGUUGGCCUUGUGCUGCUCAACGCUUUUGUCUCUGUCUUGGGUGAAGAUCAUUUGGAGUAACUAAGGGUGGCAUCCCUGUGAAACUUGUAGAAACUCAAAGCUGGGAGGGAAGCUCAGUCAAUGGACAGCUGAGAAGAAUCCAAGUGAAUUUUGCAUCCUGGGCUGAAUCUCAUCAGACCACAGUCAAUAGGAAUGAAUGGAAAGUCUAUAUGUGCAUUGAAAGUCCCUUUCAUGGGUAUAAGCCAAGGGAAACAUGGGUAGACAGUAGUUUGUCUGAAACUGGGGGACUGGAUGGACUGUAAACUCAAUAUAUGCCAGCAGGAAAAGGUGGCAGCCCAUAGAGUAGAUAGGCUUUCUGUCUGCACCAAGAGAGGAAUCGCUUCCAGGAAUGAGGAGUUUGACCCCGGCCCUCUGUCCUGGUCAGAAUUCAUCUGGAGCGCCAUGUUCUAAUAUGGUUUCCAUACAUUACGCCAUAGUGGAUGGAGGGGGGAGAACCCAGGAUGGGGGCCCUGAAGGAACUGGAGUGAUUUAUCCUGGAGAAGAGAAGGCUCAAGUGGGCAGAAUAGAGUCCUUCAAAUACUUGAAAAUUUGUCAUGUGUAAAAAAAGGAUUUGUUUUGUUCUGUUUGGCCCCAGGGGGCAGAAGUAGGAGGAAAGCGGAGAACCUACAAAGAGGCCAGUUUGAGCCUGAUGUUAGAGCAAACUUCCUCCCAAUGGAAGCUGUCCCAGAGUGGGAUGGGCUGCCUGCCCCUCCUUCAAGUAGGGGCUGGAUGAUUCCUUUUCAUGUGUCUGGUGGGGACUCUCGGGGGUCCCUCCAGCCCUAAAAUGCUGGGAUUCUGGGACUUUUAUGAACUGUUGAUCAGAGCAUCCUGCCUCUGGGUCUUUCUCCAGAACUGAGGACAAUGCCAACAGCCUGAGCU
rnacentral:lncRNA from 1 species